ensembl:lncRNA
CUACAAGUCAGUCAACAAGGUAGCCCUACAAGUCACUCAACAAGGUAGCCCUACAAGUCAGUCAACAAGGUAGCCCUACAAGUCAGUCAACAAGGUAGCAUUACAGGUCAGCCAACAAGGUAACCCUACAGGUCAGUCUGCAAGGUAGCCCUACAGGUCAGUCAGCAAGGUAGCCCUACAAGUCAGUCAACAAGGUAGCCCUACAGGUCAGUCAACAAGGUAGCCCUACAAAUCAGUCAACAAGCUAGCCCUACAGGUCAGUCAACAAGGUAGCCCUACAAAUCAGUCAACAAGGUAGCCCUACAAAUCAGUCAACAAGCUAGCCCUACAGGUCAGUCAACAAGGUAGCCCUACAAAUCAGUCAACAAGGUAGCCC